GGAUUCCCAUGUUGCACAAGGUGUACGUAGCCACAACCCAACUCAUGUUGCUGACAAACCUACACAACAAACACGAGGUUCUAAAAGGGUUGUGGCCCCUGAUGUUCAUGGACAACAGAUUAGAUUCACUAGGCAAAGGAGUGCUGCCAUAAAUCAACAAUCCUCCCUAAGCCUAACUACUACUACACAAGCUGGUUCAAGAGCCACCACAAACCAAGAAUCGACCCAAAACUUGGCUGCUGCAACACAAUUUACUUCAAGUGUUGCCACUGAGCAAGAUUACACCGCAGGCCUGGCUA
rnacentral:misc_RNA from 1 species